rnacentral:misc_RNA from 1 species
AACCAUUCUCACCUGCGGCUAGACCUGCGGAAGGAUCAUUAAAAGAACUUGUGCCCGAGACAUUCGUGUCUAAGGCCCCACUGUGUGCACCGUUUACCGUUCUUUUUGGCAGGGGCUUUGGGUUUCUUUUCCUUCCCCCUUUGUGGGGAGAAGAGGAACUCGAACUUCUCCUUCGACUCUAUCCUCUCCCCUGGGAGAGGACAGUCGGACAUAGGAAGCAGUUUACCCUGCCAAGUGAAU